rnacentral:tmRNA from 1 species
GGGGUCGUUUGGCUUCGACAGGAAUAUGCGUCUUAAUUAUGCAGGUCGAGUGUCUACGUAAAAGACAAACAAAAAUAACUGGAAACAGAAAUAAUUUAGCUGUUGCAUACGCUUAAUUUAGCGGCACAGGCUUCCCUAUUACUUUGCUUAUGAGUAAUUUGUGAAGUUUAUAUAGUAAGCUAUAGUACAUUUCAUUUCUAUAGAAUGUAUCGAAUAAUAUAGAAUAGUAAAUAUUUAUUUUGUUAAUUUAUUAGAUAUUUAUGAACUUUUCAAAUUAACUAAACCUGUAGAUUAAUUUUGUAUAAGUAUUUUUGGACAGGGGUUCAAUUCCCCUCGACUCCACCA